UACGGAGGAUCCAAGCGUUAUCCGGAUUUAUUGGGUUUAAAGGGUGCGUAGGUGGUUCAUUAAGUCAGGGGUGAAAGACGGCAGCUUAACUGUCGCAGUGCCCUUGAUACUGAUGAACUUGAAUGAACUAGAGGUAGGCGGAAUGUGACAAGUAGCGGUGAAAUGCAUAGAUAUGUCACAGAACACCAAUUGCGAAGGCAGCUUACUAUGGUUUGAUUGACACUGAGGCACGAAAGCGUGGGGAUCAAACAGG
rnacentral:rRNA from 1 species